GCUGGGCACGGUGGCACAUGCCUGUAAUCUCAGUGGCUUGGGAGGCUGAGGCAGGAGGACUGUGAGUUCAAAGCCAGCUUCAGCAAAAGUGAGGCACUAAGCACCUCAGUGAGACCCUGUCUCUA
rnacentral:sRNA from 1 species